GUGACCUGUUCCCUUUGCAAUGAUUUUGUUUGCUUGUUCUACUUAAAACACACUAUACAUUUGAUAUAUGUGCUAUGUUACACAAUGUGAAUCUUUGAGGGUUUGCUAAUAUACUAACGUAUUCUAUUGAUUCUGCAGUGUGUUUGGGUUGUUUAAUGUGCCUCCCAAGUGGUAUUCAUUCUUUUUGUUGGUAGUAUUCCAGCUUCUCAUUCAAAAUGUCUCACUACUUGGACACCUUUGUGGCAUUUUAUCUGGGUUUGCAUAUACAUAUGGCUUGUUUAAUUUCCUCAUACCUAGGACAUCUUUUUAUUCUUCCAUUGAAGCCUCUUCCUUGCUUGUAAGUAUCUUUCUGGAAUUGGCUUUGGUACUGCACAAAGAUGAGAAAACUUGCAUUUGAUUGCUUUCUAUAUCCUCUUGCUGUUAUCAUUAGACUUGAUUCAUAUACAUAUCAAAUCACAUUUAUAAAUUGUACUUUUGAUCUGUUUAUAAA